rnacentral:rRNA from 1 species
CAUCGGAGAGACAACAGGGAUUGCCUCAGUAACGGCGAGUGAAGCGGCAAAAGCUCAAAUUUGAAAUCUGGAGCCUUCGGCUUCCGAGUUGUAAUUUGAAGAGGAUGUUUCGGUUGCGGCUUGGGCCCAAGUUCCUUGGAACAGGACGUCAUGGAGGGUGAGAAUCCCGUACGUGGCUACCGGCUUGCAAUCAUGUGAAACUCCUUCGAAGAGUCGAGUUGUUUGGGAAUGCAGCUCAAAAUGGGUGGUAAAUUUCAUCUAAAGCUAAAUAUUGGCGAGAGACCGAUAGCGCACAAGUAGAGUGAUCGAAAGAUGAAAAGCACUUUGAAAAGAGAGUUAAACAGUACGUGAAAUUGUUGAAAGGGAAGCGCUUGCAAUCAGACUCGCUUUCGGUUGAUCAACGUUCCUUUUGGUUCGUGCACUCUGCCGUUUGCGGGCCAGCAUCAGUUGGGGUGACGGGACAAAAGCUUCAGGAAUGUGGCUCCCUUCGGGGAGUGUUAUAGCCUGUCGCAUAAUGCCGCCAACCCCGACUGAGGUCCGCGGUUCGCCUAGGAUGCUGGCUUAAUGGUUGUAAGCGACCCGUCUUGAAACACGGACCAAGGAGUCUAACAUCUAUGCGAGUCUUUGGGUGUCAAACCCAUGGGCGAAAUGAAAGUGAACGGAGGUGGGAGUCUUCGGAUGCACCAUCGACCGAUCCUGAUGUUCUCGGAUGGAUUUGAGUAGGAGCAUAGCUGUUGGGACCCGAAAGAUGGUGAACUAUGCCUGAAUAGGGUGAAGCCAGAGGAAACUCUGGUGGAGGCUCGCAGCGGUUCUGACGUGCAAAUCGAUCGUCAAAUUUGGGUAUAGGGGCGAAAGACUAAUCGAACCAUCUAGUAGCUGGUUCCUGCCGAAGUUUCCCUCCAGGAAAUAA